rnacentral:rRNA from 1 species
GACAGAGGUGCCGAGCGUUAGGCGGAAUCACUGGGCUUAAAGCGUGUGUAGGCGGGCCGUUAAGUACCUUGUGAAAUCCCCCGGCUCAACCGGGGAACGGCUGGGUAUACUGGCGGCCUUGAGCGGCCUAGGGGCAGAUGGAACAGACGGUGGAGCGGUGAAAUGCGUAGAUAUCAGGAGGAACACCUGUGGCGAAAGCGGCUCACUGGACCAUAACUGACGCUGAUGCACGAAAGCUAGGGGAGCAAACAGG